UACAGAGGGUGCGAGCGUUAAUCGGAAUUACUGGGCGUAAAGGGCGCGUAGGUGGGAUGUUAAGUUGCAUGUGAAAUUCCUGGGCUUAACCUGGGGAGGUCAUGCAAGACUGAUGUUCUAGAGUACAGUAGAGGGAAGUAGAAUUUCCGGUGUAGCGGUGAAAUGCGUAGAUAUCGGAAGGAAUACCAGUGGCGAAGGCGGCUUCCUGGACUGAUACUGACACUGAAGCGCGAAAGCGUGGGUAGCGAACAGG
rnacentral:rRNA from 1 species